AAUAUAAUAAUACUCGUAGGAAAGGUUUUCACCUUUAGUUCACAAUCUAUGGAUAACAUACGAUUAGAAAGGUAAAAAAAGUAUGUAAAACAUCACAGCACAAUUGAAAAACAUAUGACACAUGGAAACCAAAUGAGGGUGGUCUAUGGUGAUAGGUGGGAUGGGCUGAGUGGCUGAGGGGUGGGGUUAAAGAGCCGAGGUCUAUGGUGAUAGGUGGGAUGGGCUGAGUGGCUGAGAGUUGAGGUUAAGAGCUGAGGUCUAUGGUGAUAGGUGGGAUGGGCUGAGUGGCUGAGAGUUGAGAUUAAGAGCUGAGGUCUAUGGUGAUAGGUGGGAUGGGCUGAGUGGCUGAGAGUUGAGAUUAAGAGCUGAG
ensembl:lncRNA